UCAUUUCUUGCCGGUGGCUUGUGACUUUUCAGAAAGAAAGAAUGUAAACAACGUUGCUCUUCUCCAAACUGGGCACUUUACCCACACCUGAGCCAACCAGCCAGCAGACCUAAAUAGCCAGAUAUGCAGAUGAUACUACCCUUAUGGCAGAAAGUGAAGAACUAAAGAGCGUCUUGAUGAAAGUGGAAAGAGGAGAGUGAAAAAGUUGGCAGAAAACUAAGAUCGUGGCAUCUGGUCCCAUCACUUCGUGGAAAAUAGAUGGGGAAACAGUGGCAGACUUUAUAUUGGGGGGCGCCAAAAUCACUGCAGACAGUGACUGCAGCCAUGAAAUUAAAAGAUGCUUGCUCCUUGGAAGAAAAGUUAUGACCAACCUAGACAGCAUAUUAAAAAGCAGAGGCAUUACUUUGUCAACAAAGGUCUGUCUAGUCAAGGCUAUGGUUUUUCCAGUGGUCAUGUAUGGAUGUGAGAGUUGGACUGUGAAGAAAGCUGAGCGCAGAAUUGAUGCUUUUGAACUGUGGUGUUGGUGAAGACUCUUGAGAGUCCCUUGGACCACAAGGAGAUCCAGCCAGUCCAUCCUAAAGGAAAUCAGUCCUGAGUAUUCAUUGGAAGGGCUGAUGCUGAAGCUGAAACUCCAGUACUUUGGCCACCUGAUGUGAGGAACUGACUCCUUGGAAAAGACCGCAGUGCUGGGAAAGAUUGAAGGCGGGAGCAGAAGGGGAUGGCAGAGGAUGAGAUGGUUGGAUGGCAUCACCGACUCAAUGGACAUGUGUUUGGGUAAACUCCGGGAGUUGGUGAUGGACAGGGAGGCCUGAAGUGCUGCAGUCCAUGGGAUCGCAAAGAGUCGGACGUGACUGAACAACUGAACUGAACUGACGUACCAUGUAUAGUAGCUGAAUCAGAGAGAGAAAGCAACCCAUCAGAUGUCCUGCAGUGCAUGUGGAUGUUCUGGAGAGGGCUGCUCUGAAAUCUGAAAUGAACCUGCGUGGGACCCUGCAUCCCUUGUGGUGACCUCAUGGUGUGACCCUCAUCCUUCCUUGGAACUGGAGACGUUGUCAUCCUCUGUACGAUCUUCUCUAAAGAGAGCAGAUCACUUGGGUUCAGUAAGGCUCUGCUGCCCUUAACUAUGUGCUCUGUCCCAGAGGAGGUGAGUGCUGAAGCAAGUGGGGCCCACGUGGUCACAGCGUACCUGUGCGUCGCCAGUGAAGUCGCCUGCAGUUCUGCCCAGAGGCAGCCCGAGAGCUGGAUAAGCCAGAAACCCAGAAGUGCCAAUGAGUGAAGAUAAAAUGCCUGAACACGUCCCAAAUUUGAUCAAAGACAUGAAGGUAACUAUCAAAGAAUCUCAGUCAACUUCAAGUAAAAUAAAAUGCCCACAGUAAGUCACAUAAACUUUGAAAGCAGUUAAGACUGAUGCAAACUGUUACCUGCAAGGGAUCCUCAAUAAGAUCACUGCCAAUUUCUCAGAAACUUUGGAAGCCAGAAGACAAUGCAGAAUAUAAAGGAAAACAAAACAAGACAAAACAAACCCCAGCAGAACUGUCCUUCAAAAUUUAGGGAGAAAUUAAGACAUUUCCAGAUAAACAAAAGCUGAGGGAGUCUGUGACCACUUGAUAUGCCUUGAAAGAAAUGCUCAAGGGAUUUCUGCAAGGUUAAAUGAAAGGGCACUAGGCAGUAACUUGAAGCUAUAGAGAAAAAUAAAGGUCUAAAUGAAGGUAAUAAAUACAUGGGAAAUUAUGAACGUUAGUAUUAUCGUAAUAAUAAUUUCAAACUGAAUUUUCUGUCAUCUACAUGAAAAAAAGUGUUAGUUGCUCAGUUGUGUCCAACUCUGCGACUCCAUGCAUGGUAGCCCAUCAGGCUCUGUCCAUGGGCUUCUCCAGGCAAGAAUACUGGAGUGGGUUGCCAUGCCCUCCUCCAGGUAAUCAUCCCAAUCCAGGGACUGAACCCAGGUCUCCUGCAUUGCAGGCAGAUUUUUUACCAUUUGAGCUAGUUGGGAAGCCCUACAUGAUUAAGUCUACAUGAUUAAAGAGGAAAAAAUAUUAAAGAAAAAAAAAGCAUUUAUUAGUCUAAAAGCUAGUACUACUAUUUCUUUGGCCUAUAAAGUGUUUAGUUGCUCAGUUGUGUCUGAUCUUUGCGACUCCAUGGACUAUAGCCCACCAGGCUCCUUUGUCUAUGGAAUUUUCCAGGCAAGAAUACUGCAGUGGGUUGCCAUGACCUUCUCCAGGGGAUCUUCCCGACUCAGGGAUUGAACCUGGGUUUCCCACGUUGUGGGCAGAUUCUUUAUUAUCUGAGCCACCAGACAAGCCCUAUAACACCAAACCUUGUUUGUUACAUAAUUUAGGAGACUAAUACACUUAAAGAAACAUUAGUUUAUGUUUUUGGGCACACAAUGUAUAACUAUGUAAUUCUGUGACAUAUACAACUGAAAGCGUGGGGGUAGAGCUAUAAAGAACAGUUUUUGUAUGUUUUGAAGUUAAGUUGAUAUAAAUUCAAAUUAGACUGUUAUAACUUUAGGAUAGUAAAUGUAAUUCCCAUGGUGAAAACAAAGAAAUGACUUACAAAACAUAUACAAAAGGAAAUAAGAAAGGAACUGAAACAUUUCACCACAAAAAAUCAACUAAGCACUAAAGAAGACAGUAGUGCAGGAAAAGAAGGGACAAAAACACUAUAAGGCAUAUAGAAAACAGCACAAGGACAGAAGUCAGUCUCUCCUUAUCAGUAGUUAUUUCCAUUGUAAAUGGAUUAAACUCUCCAAUCAAAAGAGAGUGAUUGGGAGAAUGGAUAAAAACACAUGAUCCAACUAUAUGCAGUCUUAAAAGACUCACAAAGAUCCAAACACACAAACUGGUUGAAAGUGAAAGGAAAGAGAUAUCCUAUGCAAACAGUAACCCAAAGAGGCAGAGGUGGCUCUAUUAGACAAACACAGACUAAAUUUUAAAACGUUACUGGAAACUACUUUUAAAAGGACAUUAUAGGUUAAUAAAAAAUUCAAUACAGCAAGAAUACAUAACAAUUAUAAAUAUUUACAUACCUAAUGAUCAUCAAAAUAUAUGAAGCAAAAUAGAACCGAAGGGAGAAACAGACAGUUCUACAAUAAUAGUAGGAGACUUCAAUACCCUACUUACAAUAAUAUGGAACCAAUCAGAAGAUUGUAAGGAAAAAGGAUUUAGCACAGUAAGUCAUCUAAACUUAACAGACAUACACAGAACACUGUACCCAACAACAACAGAGUAUACAUUUCUCCUCAGUUGCAUACAGGACAUUUUCCAGGAUAAAACAUAUGUUAGGCCACUAGUUAAGUUUUAAUACAUUUUAAUAGAUAGAGAGCAUACAAAGUAUCUCCCUCUGACCACAACGGGAUGAAGUUAGAAAUAAAUAACAGAAGAAAAUCUAAAAUACUCAAAAACUUGUGGAAAUUAUGCACACACUUUUUUAAAAAAUGGAUCAAAGAAGUCACAAGGGAAAUUAGAAAAUACAGAGUUGAAUAAAAAUGAAAACACAACAGAGCAAAAUUUAUGAGACACAGCAUAAGUAGCACUGAGGAGGAAAUUUAUAUCUGUAAUCACAUUAAGAAACAAAUUCACAGAUGGCAGAAGGAAGGAAGUAAUAAAGAUUAGAGCAGAGAUAAAUGAAAUAGAAAAACUAAAGAAAAUGAAUCAAAAGGUCAACAAGAUUGACAAAUCUUUAGCUAAAUGGACUAAGGAAAAAAAGACAAAUUACUAAAAUCAAAAAUGAAAGUGAGGAUUUUUAUAUCAAUUCUACACAAAUAUAAAGGAUUAUCAUAACAAAGUCUUAUGAAAAAGUGUAUGCCAACAAAUUGGAUAACCUAGAUGAAAUGGAUAAAUUCCUAGAAACACAGAACUUACCAAGACUAUCUCAUGAAGAAAUAGAAAAUAUGAAUAGACAAGUAACUAGUUAAGGAGACUGAAAUCAGUAAUCAAAAUUCUCCCAACUAACAAUAAAGCCCUGAUGGUUUGGUGAAUUCUACCAAAUAUUUAAAGAACAACUAAUGCUGAUCUUUCUCAAACAUUUCCAAAAAAUUGAAGAGGAAGGAACAUUUUGUAAUUUAUGAGGCCAGAGUUAUCCUGAUACCAAAGCUAAAGAAAGACACUACAAACAAGAAAAGGAAGCUAUAUAGACCAGUAUCCCUUACGAACAUGCUCAACAGCACUAAUCAUUAAGGAAAUGCAAGUCAAAGCCACAGUGAGAUGGUAUCUCACAUCUGUCAGAAUGGCCAUUAUUAACAAACAAACCAGAAAAUAACAAGUGCUUGCAAGCAUGUAGGUACAUUAGAGCCUGCAUGCACUGUUGGUGGGAAUAUAAAAUGGUAUAACUGCUGUGAAAAACAGUAUGGAGGUUCCUCAAAAAAUUAAAAGUAGAAUCACCAUAUGAUCCAGCAGUUUCCUUUUGGGGUAUACACCGAAAAGAAUGAAGAGCAGCAACAUCUUGAGGAGAUGUGUGAUCAUAUUCACAACAGCUAGAAUGUGGAAGCAACCUUAGUAUCCACUGAGAGAUGAAUUAGCAAAAGUCAGUGUAAACAUACAAUAGAAUAUUAUUUAGCCUUAUAAAGGAAAGAAAUUCUGAAAUAUGCUACAAUAUAGAUGAACCUUGAGGACAUCAUGCUCGAUGAAAUAAGCCAAUCACAAAAAGAAACACUGAGCAAUUCCACUUAUAUGAUGUACUUAGUACAGGCAAAAUACAUGAAGAAAGAAGAGUAUACAGUGGUUUCCAAGAGACAUGGGAGUAGAGAGUGGGGAGUUAUUAAAGGCUAUAGAGUUUGCUUUUCAAGAUGAUAUAAGAGUUAUGGGAUGGUGGUGAUGGUUGUACAACAGUGUGAAUGUACUUGUACCAAUGAAUUAUACACUUAAAAAUGGUUAAGAUGGUAAAUGUUAUGUGUAAUUUUACUGCAAUAAAAAAAAAGAAUCAAUCUCUAUAUUUUUGAGGGGCUACUGGAAAAGAGGGUAUAUACCAGACUUAGAAUUGUGAGAAUGGGAGGCUAGAAUUCCAUUUUGCCCGCAAGAAAGGAGAGUCUGAGAAUAGAACCAACUCAGAAGAGGCAGAAAUGACAUUAAAAUGGACAAAAGAACUUUGCAUCCUGGUGAUAUUCUUUGAGCCCCUUAUUUAAGCCAUGGCUAAAGCCACCCUUGUCUCUAAACUAUUUCCCUUACUAAACCGACCAAUUCCCCUUUUAGCUAAGCCAUCUUUUGCAAGUUUUUUGUUCUUUACAAUGGAUGAACUUCUGAUACACACCCUCAGAAUAUGAUAUAGUAGGCAGAGAAGAAAACAAUCCCCAUGUCACUAAGUGGAAGCUCCAUCUUGUUGCUCAGGCCUGGAAUUCUGGAGACCUCUUUCUCUCCUUUGUAUUUUUCAAACUUGUACCCAAGCCAUCAGCAAAUUCUCUAGACUCUGUCAGAUAUAUCUAGCACCUGGUCAUGUCUCAUUGUCUCUACAGCUACAACUGCUCCUUGCCUGGGUAACUGCAAUAGCCCCUUAAGUGGUUUCCCCUUGUGGUUCAUCGCUCUGCUCACAACACAGCAGCCAAAGUGCCCCUGCUGACACAAAGCCCAUCACUCCUCUAACCCAAACUCUCCAAACUCAAGAGUAAAAACCAAGUCCUAAGCCAGGUUUUACAUGAGCUAUUCUGCCCGCUCCCCAAUGUCCAAUACCUAUUUCACAUUCUCUCUCUUAUUCCUGUUCUCUUUGUUCAAUCUUCUCUACCCAGAUUAGUUUCCUUGGUCUUCCUACAAGAUAACAGACAUGUUCUUCCUCAUGGCCUUUGCACUUCUAGUACUCCUA